UGGAAUAAAUAUAAAUCAAGAUGGGAAUGUAAGAUGAAAUUAUCUUGGCAAGAAGGCAUUGAAUGAAAAGCUAAAUUUAUGAUGCAUCAUCAACAGCCCAAAGAUGUAAUGAAAUUAUCUUGGCAUGGAGGCACUGAAUGAAAAGCUAAAUUUAUGAUGCAACAUGAACAGCCCAAAGAUGUCAUUGAAAUCCACUUGUUUCCAC
rnacentral:lncRNA from 1 species